rnacentral:tRNA from 1 species
AAAGCUUUAAGUUAAAUAAACUAUUAACCUUCAAAGUUAAAAAUAUAUAAAUUUUAUGUAAGCUUUA